AUUCGUGAGCACGGUUUUUUUUUUUUUUCCGAGAAAUAAAUAGUAUACUAUUCGUUUUGUUUAUUUUAUUUAUAAAUAAAUUUAAUUGAAAAUACGAAUAAACUAGAAUUCGAAUUUGAGAUCGAAUAUCAAUCAUCAAGUCCUUUAUCACGUGCACUAAAGACGAUCGGUUGUGAGCACGAAUCUUAUGGAAGAGCAUGAUA
rnacentral:lncRNA from 1 species